UACGUAGGUGGCGAGCGUUGUCCGGAUUUACUGGGCGUAAAGGGAGCGUAGGCGGGCUUUUAAGUGAGAUGUGAAAUACUCGGGCUCAACUUGAGUGCUGCAUUUCAAACUGGAAGUCUAGAGUGCAGGAGAGGAGAAUGGAAUUCCUAGUGUAGCGGUGAAAUGCGUAGAGAUUAGGAAGAACACCAGUGGCGAAGGCGAUUCUCUGGACUGUAACUGACGCUGGGGCUCGAAAGCGUGGGGAGCAAACAGG
rnacentral:rRNA from 1 species